CCCUUGCACAGGAGUGUUAAAUUAGGAGAAUAUGAUUUGAACCACGGUUUCCCAGAGCAUAAAGACUCACACAGAGGAGACAGGAGCUGACAGUCUACUCCAGAAUACUCCAACUGGACCACAAGCAAGACAUGAGCCAAUAACCUUCUCUAGCCAGCUCUCCAUAGGAACAGGAGCUAAAAGACUGUUGCUCGUGCCUAUUUCAACUGGACCCCAUAAAGUCUCCCUUCUGCACACAAUAUGUAUGCG